UACGUAGGGUGCGAGCGUUGUCCGGAAUUACUGGGCGUGAAGAGCUCGUAGGUGGUUUGUCGCGUUGUUCGUGAAAACCGGGGGCUUAACCCUCGGCGUGCGGGCGAUACGGGCAGACUUGAGUACUGCAGGGGAGACUGGAAUUCCUGGUGUAGCGGUGGAAUGCGCGGAUAUCAGGAGGAACACCGGUGGCGAAGGCGGGUCUCUGGGCAGUAACUGACGCUGAGGAGCGAAAGCGUGGGGAGCGAACAGG
rnacentral:rRNA from 1 species